CCCUAGUAACGGCGAGUGAAGCGGGAAGAGCUCAAAUUUGUAAUCUGGCGGUCUAUGGCCGUCCGAGUUGUAGUCUGGAGAAGCGUUUUCUGCGUCGGACCGUGUACAAGUCCCUUGGAACAGGGCGUCGUAGAGGGUGAGAAUCCCGUCUUUGACACGGACUGCCGGUGCUCUGUGAUGCGCUCUCGAAGAGUCGAGUUGUUUGGGAAUGCAGCUCAAAUCGGGUGGUAAAUUCCAUCUAAAGCUAAAUAUUGGCAAAAGACCGAUAGCGAACAAGUACCGUGAGGGAAAGAUGAAAAGCACUUUGGAAAGAGAGUUAAACAGUACGUGAAAUUGUUGAAAGGGAAACGCUUGAAGUCAGUCACGUCUUCCGAGACUCAGCCUCGCUUUUCGCUUGGUGUAUCUCNUGGAGCGACNGGCCAGCAUCGAUUUCGAUCGUCGGAANAAGGCUUUGGGGAACGUGGCACCCUUUGGGGUGUGUUAUAGCCCYGGGUCGUAUGCGACGGUCGGGAUCGAGGAUCGCAGCACGCCUUUUUGGCCGGGGUUCGCCCACGUAACGUGCUUAGGAUGCUGGCGUAAUGGCUUUAAGCGACCCGUCUUGAAACACGGACCAAAGAGUCUAACAUGCUUGCNAGUGUUUGGGUGUCAAACCCGGACGCGGAAUGAAAGUGAAARGUCGGG
rnacentral:rRNA from 1 species